UUCGCGUGCACCGUCCCCCGCCUGACCUGCCGGCCGCUUCCGGAGCGGGAGGAUGUGGCGGACUUGCGGGGCGCUAAGCGCUUCGGCCCUAGCCUUGGCGCGGUCGCGGGGAGCCCGGGCCUGCAGCGGAGACGGGGGCGUCUCCUACACGCAGGGCCAGAGCCCGGAGCCCCGGACGCGCGAGUAUUUCUACUACGUGGAUCAUCAGGGUCAGGUGUGUGGGGAGCGAGGCAGGGCGCCGGGAAGGGGAAGGGCCUCUGUGGGGGCGGGACGGGAACUGGAGUCCCGGUGCGUACUGACGAGGAGAGGAGUCCUCGUAGGCCAAGGGAAAGGGGGGAACCUGGAAAGCGCGUGAGCCCCACUCUGCAGAGCCCAGACAAUCAGCGGGAAAAACCCGGAGCGCGCGGGCGGCGUGGGCCUGGUGCGCUCUGCCCCGGCCUUCGAGCUCAGCGCCUGCUUCGAGUACGGCCCUGGCGCGCCCGCGCUGCCCUCGCACGUGCGCUGGGAGGGCGGUCGCCUCGCCCUCACCAUGGAGCUGGCCCCGCUGCUGCUGGCGACUCCGCCGUCCUGAGCCCGCGGGCGGCUCGGGAGGUCGAGUGCCCGCGUGGGGAGGCUCGGCCUGCUUUGUAAUCAAGGAAGAGGGGAAAAGCCACCGAAAGUGCAAGGAAGCAUUACUCGGGUUGCGGGUCGAUGUCGGAAAGGCAGCAGGCCCGGGGUUUACUUUCAAAGCGCCGCCCUGCACAGGGAACAGCAAGACAGUGAACACACCCACGGGGUCUCAUUCACUGGCCUCGGCCUGUCCUCUGCAGCUCUUCCUGGACGAUUCCAAAAUGAAGAACUUCAUCACCUGCUUCAAAGGUACUGCUGCACCCCUUCCUUCGCCCUUCAGGACAGCCGAGGACAGGCCCUGCCCCGGGCCCCGACCCAGGGCUGACUUGCACCAGGUGCCCCGCUGUCGCAGUGAGGCCAGCGCCGGCCUUGGGUGUGGUCCGGGGUGAGGCGCCUGCCGAGGUGAGCAGCCGCACUCUCUGCUCCCCCCAGACCUGCAGUUCCUGGUCACCUUCUUCUCUCGCCUGAAACCCAACCGCAGCGGGCGCUACGAGGCCGCCUUCCCCUUCCUCUCACUGUGCGGCAGAGAGCGCAACUUCCUGCGCUGUGAGGACCGGCCCGUGGUCUUCACGCACCUGCUGGCCACGGGCCGCGGGCCCUCUCGCCUCUCCUACUGCGGCGGGGGCGAGGCCCUGGCAGUGCCCUUCGAGCCGGCGCGCUUGCUGCCCCUGGCGGCCAACGGGCGCCUGUACCACCCGGCGCCAGAGCGCGCGGGCGGCGUGGGCCUGGUGCGCUCUGCCCUGGCCUUCGAGCUCAGCGCCUGCUUCGAGUACGGCCCUGGCGCUCCCGCGCUGCCCUCGCACGUGCGCUGGGAGGGCCGUCGCCUCGCCCUCACCAUGGAGCUGGCCCCGCUGCUGCUGGCGACUCCGCGGUCCUGAGCCGCGGACUGUUCCGAAGUUCCCGCGGAUCCUGCGCUCCGCCGGCCGAGUGCGCGUGCGCGUGCGUGGAGUGCGCCGGGGCUCCGCCUGCUGGCGCUGUCCGAGGUGCUGCUGCCCGUCCUAGGGCUCGGCGCCGCCCCUUGCUCCGCUCCUCGCUCCCCUUCCGGGCAUCCUCUGGAUUGGCCCGCGCUCCCGACGUCAGGCCCGGGCGGCGGGCGCAGGAGGCGCGGGGCUCCGGUGCGCGUGCGCGCCCCGCCUCUGCUGGAGCCAGGCCGCCGCAGGCUCGGCGGGGAGCCGCGAGCCGCCGGAGCGUCAGGUGAGGGGGGGCCCCGACCCAAGGUCACCGGGCUUAGGGGCGGGAUCGGGGACCUCCCCGGCUCAGACCCCGGCACGCACCUAGAAGGGUGUGCAACCCGGCACCGGGGAGGGCACGCGGAUACCACGCCCUCCACGAUCGCAGGCCUGCACCUACCUGCGCGAGAGGGCGAAAGGGGACUUCGUGCAGGAUCCCAGCGCCGGUCGCAAGGACCACCCGGAGAUCCUGGCUCGAGUGUGCCGGAGAGAGGAAACCGGGUGCCCCCAGCCCCCUGCUAAGCCGGAUUAGGGUUUGUCCGCUGGUAAAAGGACUUCUGGGCCCUCAUCCGGGUCCCUCAUCCCUGUCCGGGCCGUCUUUCCACACCAGUUUGUAUUUAACGGGUCCUCCAGAGCUGCAGCGCCGAGCCAAGGAAGAAACCAAGGCUUUAUUGCUGGAGGCUGGGUGGGUGGGUGAGUCCUGGAGCUGGAGGCCGCCCCUUGGUGCUCAGGGAGACUAAUGCCAUGGGCCCAAAGAAUGCGCCCCCCCCCCAGUCCCAUUUCUUGGGGGCUCACACACAUCCUGAGACCCCUGGCAACCGCCUCUGCCUUUUCCAUUAAAACUUUAUUGCUAUGCUUACUCAUAUGUCCUGAUUAUAAAUAAUCGUGUGAGUUACAGUUUAGGGCAGAAUUGAAACAAGCACUGAAGCCAUUUGGCACCUUUCAUCUUGACUCACAGAGACAGGGACACCUAGGUAACAGUAUACCCUGGGUUUUGCCUUUCUUGGCUCCAGAGGAGCUGGUUUCUCAGUCACGCCCAUACCUAUAAAACUGGGUUCUUGUGUUUGGAACUAGACCCCAGCUUUCCCAUCCCUGAGGCCACAGAUACAUGCACAUAAACCCCUGCAAACCACAUGCUUCUUCCUAUUGUCUCUGGCCCACUUAGAAAACCACACCUGAAACCCAGUUGGUGUGGUUGGAGUAGCUCAGUGGUGGAGUAUGUGCUUAACAUGUGAGACCCUGGGGUCAAUCCCUCCCCCCACACACACACACACACAAAGAAGAAACACAAAAGCUUUAUUGGUGACCUAAGGCCCGUCUCUCACACCCAAUCUUUCCCAGCACUCCACCUACCCCAAAGACAGGGGUUUUCUUUCCGGAGCCAGCCUAGGGAGCCCCAGCCCAUAGUUCAUGAAUUAACUUUCCUAUUGUUUGCCUCAUCCUCAAUUCUCUACAAGUUACUUGAGGAAAAGCCCCAGCUCUGUCAUCUGGCUCCCCCUCUGCCCAGGUCUCCCUUCAAGUCAUGAUGUAUGAACCACCAGGUGGAGCCAGAGCAUACCUGCUUCCAGUGUUAAUUAAUUCUAGAGUUUGAAGUGAGACGACAGGUCUUGUCCUAGGGGCACCUAAGGAACUCUGCUUUGGAUUGAGCCUUAGGUUUGUGCCAGUCCUGAGAGUGAAGACAAGAGUGAAGACAUGCCUGCCCAGGGCCCGUUCCCUCCUUCUGGUCUAUGCUUGGGUAGGUCCCGGAUUUUGCUG
rnacentral:lncRNA from 1 species